UGCAAGUCGAGCGCGAAUAGGGAAACCUUAGUAGAGCGGCGCACGGGUGCGUAACACGUGGAUAAUCUGCCUGGAUGCCUGGGAUAACCAGUCGAAAGAUUGGCUAAUACCGGAUAAGCCCACGGUUUCUUCGGAGACUGAGGGAAAAGGUGGCCUCUGUAUACAAGCUAUCACAACCAGAUGAGUCCGCGGCCCAUCAGCUAGUUGGCGGGGUAAUGGCCCACCAAGGCGACGACGGGUAGCUGGUCUGAGAGGACGAUCAGCCACACUGGAACUGAGACACGGUCCAGACUCCUACGGGAGGCAGCAGUGGGGAAUUUUGCGCAAUGGGCGAAAGCCUGACGCAGCAACGCCGCGUGUGUGAUGAAGGUCUUCGGAUUGUAAAGCACUUUCGACCGGGACGAAAACCCGUAGCCCAACACGCUACGGCUUGACGGUACCGGGAGAAGAAGCACCGGCUAACUCUGUGCCAGCAGCCGCGGUAAUACAGAGGGUGCAAGCGUUGUUCGGAAUUAUUGGGCGUAAAGCGCGUGUAGGCGGCGUGACAAGUCGGGUGUGAAAGCCCUCAGCUCAACUGAGGAAGUGCGCCCGAAACUGUCGUGCUUGAGUGCCG
rnacentral:rRNA from 1 species